rnacentral:rRNA from 1 species
GGCCAGACUCCUACGGGAGGCAGCAGUGGGGGAUAUUGCACAAUGGGGGGAACCCUGAUGCAGCGACGCCGCGUGGGUGAAGGAGCGUUUCGGCGCGUAGAGCUCUAUCGGCAGGGAAGAAGGAGGACGGUACCUGACUAAGAAGCCCCGGCUAACUACGUGCCAGCAGCCGCGGGAAUACGUAGGGGGCAAGCGUUAUCCGGAUUUACUGGGUGUAAAGGGGGCGCAGACGGCAGCGCAAGCCAGGAGUGAAAGCCCGGGGCCCAACCCCGGGCAUGCAUUGGAAACUGGCGGGCUGGAGUGCCGGAGAGGUAAGCGGAAUUCCUAGUGUAGCGGUGAAAUGCGUAGAUAUUAGGAGGAACACCAGUGGCGAAGGCGGCUUACUGGACGGCAACUGACGCUGAGGCUCGAAAGCGUGGGGAGCAAACAGGAUUAGAUACCCGAGUA